rnacentral:rRNA from 1 species
CCUACGGGAUGCUGCAGUGAGGAAUAUUGGUCAAUGGACGAGAGUCUGAACCAGCCAAGUAGCGUGAAGGAUGACUGUCCUAUGGGUUGUAAACUUCUUUUAUAUGGGAAUAAAAUGUUCCACGUGUGGGCUUUUGUAUGUACCAUAUGAAUAAGGAUCGGCUAACUCCGUGCCAGGAGCCGCGGUAAUACGGAGGGUCCGAGCGUUAUCCGGAUUUAUUGGGUUUAAAGGGGGGGUAGGUGGAAUGGUAAGUUAGUGGUGAAAGUUUGGGGCUCAACCGUAAAAGUGCAGUUGAAACUGGCAGUCGUGAGUACAGUAGAGGUGGGCGGAAUUCGUGGUGUAGCGGUGAAAUGCUUAGAGAUCACGAAGAACGCCGAUUGCGAAGGCAGCUCACUGGACUGCAACUGACACUGAGGCUCGAAAGUGUGGGUAUCAAACAGGAUUAGAUACCCUUGUAGUC